rnacentral:lncRNA from 1 species
UGUUCUGAAGGCUCGUUCUGCUCCCAUUCUGAAGCUCCGGGCAUGAGUUAGCCUUCAUGGGGGCAGAUAGAAGCAGGGGACAAAACUUUGGUUCAGGUAGCUUCUUCCUCUGUCUGAUACUAGCUGCUGCUUGCUUGCUGUUUAUAUAUAGAACACAAACUGUGUGUGUGUGUAUAUAUAUACACAUAUCCUAUUAUUUGCAUGUACCGGAAGUAAGGUGGGAGAUAGUGCAGAGAGAAAAAACUAUAAGCUAUUGUUGAAAGGGUCAGUCAUGAAGUUGCCAAACUACCUUCUUCCGCAAACUAUGAAGGGAGUGGAAGAGAGAGACAUGGUGAAGAUAGAAGAGAGAUUAACUAUGUCAAUUACUGCCUCACAAUGUAGAAGUAGAAAGUUCAGAAGAACCGCAUGCUGCCAUGCAAGAUGGUGCAUGAAAUUUCCUUAGAUCAUCCUCCACCUGCCACAAAUCAUAUGAGACAGCACACACAAUUUUUUUAGUGUGGCCCAGAGAUAUUAUUCCAUGGAUGAUGAUGAUGUGCAAUGAUUCAUCAAUCAUUGAGGGAUGUCAUAUUUGGAUUCUUCUCUUUGUGCCCAGUUCUUCACAUAGUUUAGGUGCAGCUAUUGUGCUCUAUCAUUUGCAGCAGCAUGUGGCUCCCAAGUAGAAUACUUUUGACAAGUUAAUGUGAAACAGUUUAUUCUCUGUUAUCCUCUUUCUUCUUCUGUGCCUUUCUCACAAAGUGUGUUGUUAGGAGAAGAGAUCCACAAGCACAAUGGUGAUGUCUCAGGUUGGUGUGGUGGCAAUGAAGGUAGAAGAAUGCAUGUAACUAUAUAUAUUUUUAGAGCUCUAUUAUAUUUGUUCUUCUGAAAAUUCUGAUACUUGUGCAUCAUAGCAGCAAACACAUGCACACACAUACCAAAACUCCAUUGUUACUUACAGAAAGCUUUCAUGAUUUCUGAGGAGAUGACUUGCCUGCAUCUUUCUGAGAGCUCUUGUCAUCACGGCAUAAUCAUACAGAAAGUACUCAUCAAUCAUCAUCCUGCACCCUCGUAGCUUUCAUGACAUCAACAAGAUUAAGAUAAUAGUGUCCUAACUACAUGGAUUCUUAGAACAAUAUCUCUAUAUUUUAUGAUGAAUAACCCACUUAGGUCAUCGGUCCCAAUCCAGGUAGCUUUCUUCGGAAGAAGAAGAAGAAGAAGAAGAAGAAGAAGAAGAAGAAGGGAGGAGAAUCUUUUGGCGGCUGCCGACACUUGCGCUGAUGUGAGCAUCAUAAGAGGGUCCCUCGCCGCAUGUCGGGUGGGAAGAGAAGUCCACGCCGCUGAGGGAUUCCUUACCGAUCACCAGUGAAGAAGUCGGUAGGAAGUGAGUGUCUUGCAUUGGUAAGCAGUUGGCAUCACUAGGUUUGGUGCAGAGUCCCACGCCAAGAAGGGAGAAUACCAGAGUGAGCGAGAGCUGUGAACAGGACCAGAAUCCAACCUACUCAUUCUGAACUUUCCAUAAUCUCGCUAACCUGAUGUUUCUUUCGUCCUGUGGUCAAGGAAGAAGAAAAUAAAAAUUGAAGGAAAACAACAUUGGAACAAACAAACUUACUCAAGUCAGAUUAAGAUUGAAUGAAAGUUCUUCCUUUUGAAUGAGUGAUCGCAACAUGCGAGAUUGAAACAAGAGGGUUAAAGGAGACAUCCUUACUUGGUUAGCCAAUGGGGGAGCUGUCGAAGCAUCGCACUCUCCCGACUUCCCCACUCGCUGGCGGCAACCAUACCGACACAAGUCGGACUCGUAACCUUCACCACUUGUGUAU